CACCCGAUGACUGAAAGUAAGUUUAGGUCUUUUAAACCUAAUAUAGUAUUUUUUAACGCCUACUUCUGGUGA
rnacentral:tRNA from 1 species